rfam:Danaus plexippus plexippus isolate F-2 unplaced genomic scaffold DPSCF300006, whole genome shotgun sequence.
AUACUUACCUGGCGUAGGGGAUACCGUGAUCAUGAAGGCGGUUCCCCCAGAGCGAGGCUCCUCCAUUGCACUGCGGCGGGGUUGACCUCUGUGAUUAUCCCUUAUGUGGAUAACUCGGACGCGUAAUUUUUGGUAGUAGGGGACUGCGUACGCGCCGUCCCCUC